AUUGAACGCUGGCGGUAGGCCUAACACAUGCAAGUCGAACGCGAAAGUCCUUCGGGAUGAGUAGAGUGGCGGACGGGUGAGUAACGCGUAGGAAUCUAUCCUGUAGUGGGGGAUAACGUUUCGAAAGGAACGCUAAUACCGCAUACGCCCCAAGGGGGAAAGCGGGGGAUCUUCGGACCUCGUGCUAUAGGAGGAGCCUGCGUCGGAUUAGCUAGUUGGUGAGGUAAAGGCUCACCAAGGCGACGAUCCGUAGCUGGUCUGAGAGGAUGAUCAGCCACACCGGAACUGAGACACGGCCCGGACUCCUACGGGAGGCAGCAGUGGGGAAUAUUGCGCAAUGGGCGAAAGCCUGACGCAGCCAUACCGCGUGUGUGAAGAAGGCCUUCGGGUUGUAAAGCACUUUCAGUGGGGAGGAAAAGCUGGUGGCUAAUAUCCAUCGGCCGUGACGCUACCCACAGAAGAAGCACCGGCUAAUUCCGUGCCAGCCGCCGCAGUAAGAC
rnacentral:rRNA from 1 species